CCCAGGUCAGGCGAGGCCACCCGCUGAGUUUAAGCAUAUCAAUAAGCGGUGGAGAAGAAACUUACGAGGAUUCCCCUAGUAACGGCGAGCGAACCGGGAACAGCCCAGCUUGAGAAUCAGAUGGCCAUGCCUUCUGAAUUGUAGUCUGUAGAAGCAUCCUCAGCGACGGACCGGGUGCAAGUCCCCUGGAAGGGGGCGUCUGAGAGGGUGAGAGCCCCGUCGUGCCUGGAACCUGUCGUACCACGAGGUGCUGUCGGCGAGUCGGGUUGUUUGGGAAUGCAGCCC
rnacentral:rRNA from 1 species